AUACGGAGGAUGCGAGCGUUAUCCGGAUUUAUUGGGUUUAAAGGGAGCGUAGGUGGGAUAUUAAGUCAGCUGUGAAAGUUUGGGGCUCAACCUUAAAAUUGCAGUUGAUACUGGUUUCCUUGAGUACGGUACAGGUGGGCGGAAUUCGUGGUGUAGCGGUGAAAUGCUUAGAUAUCACGAAGAACUCCGAUCGCGAAGGCAGCUCACCGGGCCGGAACUGACACUGAUGCUCGAAAGUGCGGGUAUCAAACAGGAUUAGAUACCCUGGUAGUCCGCAGUAAACGAUGAAUACUCGCUGUUUGCGAUACACUGUAAGCGGCCAAGCGAAAGCGUUAAGUAUUCCACCUGGGGAGUACGCCGGCAACGGUGAAACUCAAAGGAAUUGACGGG
rnacentral:rRNA from 1 species